GAUGAAAACGCAGCGAAAUGCGAUAAGUAGUGUGAAUCGCAGAAUUCAGUGAAUCAUCGAAUCUUUGAACGCACAUUGCGCCCCUUGGUAUCCCGAGGGGCAUGCCUGUUCGAGCGUCAUUUCACCACUCAAGCCUGGCUUGGUGUUGGGCGACGUCCUCUUUGGGGACGCGCCUCGAAACGCUCGGCGGCGUGGCACCGGCUUUAAGCGUAGCAGAAUCUUUCGCUUUGGAAGUCGGGGCCCCGUCUGCCGGAAGACCUGCUCGCAAGGUUGACCUCGGAUCAGGCAGGGAUACCCGCUGAACUUAAGCAUAUCAAAAGCGGAGGA
rnacentral:misc_RNA from 1 species